CGAACUACCGCUUUCCCCGUAACCAGGGAGACUGCAGUUUGCAGUGAUGUGGCUAAGAUACCCUUGUGCUAUUAAAGGCACAUUUACGUAUCUUUCAACGCAGUUUGUACCUUUGUUUAGGGUUCUAUUGAACUUUCUCUGUGCUCUUUAGAAAACCGUCGAAUAAAGGUAACCAUCUUUUUGGGUGCCUGGGCAUGGUCAUUGUCCCAGAGUUUUAACAGAAGUCUCUACUAAAGUAUCCUGAUUUGCAAGGGAGGUCAUGGACCAAGUACAAAGCGGCAAAAGGAUGGAAUUAAGGUACCUGACAUUGUUGAACCCAUGCCUGAUGCCACAUUAGCUCAGGACUACCUACAUGGACAUGGAUAUUUCCAGUGAAAGAAAGAAGAAAGCAUGCUUUUCUCUUGACUGUGCAGAAAAAAAAACUAUGUUUCUUUGAUUCUCCAUUUUACUAGAUGCCAUACCUUUGCAAUUACUUCAUGUGGAGUCUUGACCAAGAUUCAGGAAAUACUAGAACUUUCAGUCCCAGAAGGUUACUCUGGGCAUUACUAGUCCCCAUCAUUAUGAGUUGAGUUUUACUAGUUAAUUUCAGACGAAAAAUAUUUGUUUUUCCCCAAAUUCUGGGGUUACGUACUUUUACUACCUAUGAACUGACAACUGUAUCUUCAGUAAUUACAAUUUCCAACAAAAUGUUAUAGGAAUAAAGAAAAGAUGUUAGUUCAUUAUUCAGAGUUUAUGUUUAUUCCUUUAAUAAAAAGAAAUGGUCUGUAUUUCUUCUUUUCACAUUUAUUUCCUCAGUUCAAACCUGCUUUUCAGG
rnacentral:lncRNA from 1 species